CACCCAUGUCUUUUGCGCACUUGUUGUUUCCUGGGCGGGUUCGCCCGCCACCAGGACCAAACCAUAAACCUUUUUUUUUUUAUGCAGUUGCAAUCAGCGUCAGUAAAAACAAUGUAAUUAUUACAACUUUCAACAACGGAUCUCUUGGUUCUGGCAUCGAUGAAGAACGCAGCGAAAUGCGAUACGUAGUGUGAAUUGCAGAAUUCAGUGAAUCAUCGAAUCUUUGAACGCACAUUGCGCCCUUUGGUAUUCCAAAGGGCAUGCCUGUUCGAGCGUCAUUUGUACCUUCAAGCUUUGCUUGGUGUUGGGCGUUUUGUCUCUCUCUUUCUGGGAGACUCGCCUCAAAACGAUUGGCAGCCGGCCUACUGGUCUCGGAGCGCAGCACAUAUUUUGCGCUUUGUAUCAGGAGAAAAGGACGGUGAUCCAUCAAGACUCAUCAUUUCAACUUUUGACCUCGGAUCAGGUA
rnacentral:rRNA from 1 species